rnacentral:rRNA from 1 species
CAGCAGCCGCGGUAAUACAGAGGGUGCAAACGUUGUUCGGAAUUACUGGGCGUAAAGCGAGUGUAGGCGGUCUGCUAAGUCGGGUGUGAAAGCCCCGGGCUCAACCCGGGAAGUGCACUCGAAACUGGCAGGCUAGAGUACUGGAGAGGUUGGUGGAAUUCUCGGUGUAGAGGUGAAAUUCGUAGAUAUCGAGAGGAACACCGGUGGCGAAGGCGGCCAACUGGACAGAUACUGACGCUGAGACUCGAAAGCGUGGGGAGCAAACAGGAUUAGAUACCCUGGUAGUCCACGCCGUAAACAAUGGGUGCUAGGUGUCGCGGGCUUUGACUCCUGCGGUGCCGUAGCUAACGCAUUAAGCACCCCGCCUGGGAAGUACGGCCGCAAGGCUAAAACUCAAAGGAAUUGACGG